UCAGCUGAAGUCUCACAGCCAGCGAAUGGCAGGCCAGGGCACCAGGGCCUAGGUCUGCCUGCCUCUUCCAUCCACCUUCUGUCAUCACAAGCCUUCUGAUCUCCAGCCCUCUGAUCUGCCCCAGUGGGACCCUCCUGCGUCUCUGCUCUAGUUGUAGAGGACCCAUCAGGCACUUAGAGAGAAAUGAGUGGUGUUGUGAACAUUCGACUGUGUCCAUGUGGAAUCCACACACACAGUUUGCCUGAAAAUGACUGAUAGGAUGGAAACUGACAAGUCAUCAUCCGCUUCGGGCACCAGCGAUGACUGGUUAACAUGAAUAUUGUGUUGAUUUCCGCUAGAUAGAAGAAGAUGUCACUUGUCGUUAAUGGGGUGUCACACGUACACUUGCCUAAAGGAAAAUGCUCUUUUGGUGAUUGUUCUCAAUUUUCACCUCAUUUUAUAGCCAUAAAAAAGAAAAGAUUCAGCAGAAAGGAUGAAUCCACCUAGGGGUAGGAUGGAAAGGCAUUCUUCUCAUUUAUUUCCUUCUUUCUUUACCAGAACAACCAAAACCCAGUGAAAAUGCUGGUGCAAGUCAGAAGAGGGGGACCUGGGUUCUAAGAGCAGCCAGGUACUCUGGGCUUCAGAUCAGAGCCUCAGAAUCCAGCAGUUAUGCCCACAAGGUAGCCAAAGUCCAGCCAGUACCACCGGUCUCUCGGCCAGCUAUACUUGCCUCUGCUCAACAAUGAUGAUUUGAACGUACAUGUACAAAUAAUAACAGAUAACAUUACUGAGCACUUUACUAUGAACUAUGGAAUGUGCUAGGUAAAGACGUUACUCCACGUAAGCCAUAAAAUCAACCUAUGGGGCAGGUGCAGAUCCACAAACCCUGAUUUAAGAAUUCUGAAUCCUCAAAAGCUUUGAAAACCAAAACAUUUUUUCGUACGUGGUAAUAUGGUAAAAUACUUUGGAGGAACUGGAUGUAUUUUUCCUCUGGUCUCCAGAGAAGAAACUGAGACGACAGCAAGUCACAGAUUCAAGCUGUGUUCAUAAUGUGUUUCCACGUGGAGGUCACACUUUCAUGUUCAUGGGCAGAUGAAUUCUAACACCAAACACCAGGCUGAAUAGGUGUUCCCAUUGCAAGAGAAGUGCUGUGCACAAUUUUUAUUUGCAUUUCAAAACCCUAACAAAUGGCCACAAUCAACUACUACAAAUUUCUCCUAAUUAGUUUUAGUCUGCACUUCUGUCACCUUUAGGAGAGAGCCAAAGAUUUUAACCUUCAAAAUUAUCAGCAAUGCAUGUCAGAAAGCAUUUCAAAGAAGAGUCAAAGUGCAUGUAGAAACUAAUUGCUGUAUCUGAAAGUGCUGUUUGAAGAAUUUUUCAGUCUUCAGAGAAGCAAGUUCCCCACCCCUUGGGAAAACUAGUCUUCAAACUAAAAGUUUCCCCAAAUCAUAUACCUGAGAAAAAUGUUAAAACAGACUUACCCAAAAAGGCAAAGAAAUAAAACUGUAAGAAUAAAUAAAUCAGAAAUCAGAUGUCUCUCCCCUGUUUAAAAUCCUCCAACAGCUUCCUACUUUACUUGGAAUAAAACGCAAUUCCUUUACCAUCAC
rnacentral:lncRNA from 1 species